rnacentral:rRNA from 1 species
AGUGAACGCUGGCGGCAGGCCUAACACAUGCAAGUCGAACGGCAGCACAGUAAGAGCUUGCUCUUACGGGUGGCGAGUGGCGGACGGGUGAGGAAUACAUCGGAAUCUACUUUUUCGUGGGGGAUAACGUAGGGAAACUUACGCUAAUACCGCAUACGACCUACGGGUGAAAGCAGGGGAUCUUCGCACCUUGCGCGAUUGAACGAGCCGAUGUCGGAUUAGCUAGUUGGCGGGGUAAAGGCCCACCAAGGCGACGAUCCGUAGCUGGUCUGAGAGGAUGAUCAGCCACACUGGAACUGAGACACGGUCCAGACUCCUACGGGAGGCAGCAGUGGGGAAUAUUGGGCAAUGGGCGCAAACCUGAUCCAGCCAUACCGCGUGGGUGAAGAAGGCCUUCGGGUUGUAAAGCCCUUUUGUUGGGAGAGAAAAGCAGCAGGUUAAUACCCCGCUGUUCUGACGGUACCCAAAGAAUAAGCACCGGCUAACUUCGUG